UACAGAGGUGGCAAGCGUUGUUCGGAAUUACUGGGCGUAAAGGGCGCGUAGGCGGUCUGUUAAGUUCGGUGUGAAAGCCCCCGGCUCACCUGGGGAACUGCGCCGGAAACCGACAGACUCGAGUACCGGAGAGGAGGGUGGAAUUCCUGGUGUAGCGGUGAAAUGCGUAGAUAUCAGGAGGAACACCGGUGGCGAAGGCGGCCCUCUGGACGGAUACUGACGCUGAGGCGCGAAAGCGUGGGGAUCAAACAGG
rnacentral:rRNA from 1 species